AUUGAACGCUGGCGGCAGGCCUAACACAUGCAAGUCGAACGGUAACAGGGAUCAGCUUGCUGAUUCGCUGACGAGUGGCGGACGGGUGAGUAAUGUCUGGGAAACUGCCUGAUGGAGGGGGAUAACUACUGGAAACGGUAGCUAAUACCGCAUAACGUCGCAAGACCAAAGAGGGGGACCUUCGGGCCUCUUGCCAUCGGAUGUGCCCAGAUGGGAUUAGCUAGUAGGUGGGGUAACGGCUCACCUAGGCGACGAUCCCUAGCUGGUCUGCGAGGAUGACCAGCCAAACUGGAACUGGGACACGGUCCAGACUCCAAUGGGAGGCAGCAGUGGGGAAUAUUGCACAAUGGGCGCAAGCCUGAGGCAGCCAUGCCGCGUGUAUGAAGAAGGCCUUCGGGUUGUAAAGUACUUUCAGCGGGGAGGAAGAGAGUAAAGUUAAUACCUUUGCUCAUUGACGUUACCCGCAGAAGAAGCACCGGCUAACUCCGU
rnacentral:rRNA from 1 species